rnacentral:rRNA from 1 species
GACAGAGGGUGCAAACGUUGCUCGGAAUUAUUGGGCGUAAAGAGCGUGUAGGCGGCCAGGUAGGUCUGCUGUGAAAACUCGAGGCUCAACCUCGAGACGUCGGCGGAAACCAUCUGGCUAGAGUCCGGAAGAGGAGAGUGGAAUUCCUGGUGUAGCGGUGAAAUGCGCAGAUAUCAGGAAGAACACCGGUGGCGAAGGCGGCUCUCUGGGCCUUACCUGACGCUGAGGAGCGAAAGUGUGGGGAGCGAACAGG